rnacentral:rRNA from 1 species
AUACGGAGGAUCCGAGCGUUAUCCGGAUUUAUUGGGUUUAAAGGGAGCGUAGGCGGACGCUUAAGUCCGUUGUGAAAGUUUGCGGCUCAACCGUAAAAUUGCAGUUGAUACUGGGUGUCUUGAGUACAGUAGAGGCAGGCGGAAUUCGUGGGGUAGGGGGGAAAUGCUUAGAAAUCACGGAGAAAUCUGAUUGUGAAGGAAUCCUGCUGGACUGUAACUGACGCUGAUGCUCGAAAGUGUGGGUAUCAAACAGGAUUAGAUACCCUGGUAGUCCACACAGUAAACGAUGAAUACUCGCUGUUUGCGAUAUACAGUAAGCGGCCAAGCGAAAGCGUUAAGUAUUCCACCUGGGGAGUACGCCGGCAACGGUGAAACUCAAAUGAAUUGACGGGU